rnacentral:rRNA from 1 species
UACGGAGGGGGCUAGCGUUGUUCGGAAUUACUGGGCGUAAAGCGCACGUAGGCGGAUCUUUAAGUCAGGGGUGAAAUCCUGGAGCUCAACUCCAGAACUGCCUUUGAUACUGGGGAUCUCGAGUCCGGAAGAGGUGAGUGGAACUCCGAGUGUAGAGGUGAAGUUCGUAGAUAUUCGGAAGAACACCAGUGGCGAAGGCGGCUCACUGGUCCGGUACUGACGCUGAGGUGCGAAAGCGUGGGGAGCAAACAGG